GACGAACGCUGGCGGCGUGCUUAACACAUGCAAGUCGAACGGAAAGGCCCUGCUUUUGUGGGGUGCUCGAGUGGCGAACGGGUGAGUAACACGUGAGUAACCUGCCCUUGACUUUGGGAUAACUUCAGGAAACUGGGGCUAAUACCGGAUAGGAGCUCCUGCUGCAUGGUGGGGGUUGGAAAGUUUCGGCGGUUGGGGAUGGACUCGCGGCUUAUCAGCUUGUUGGUGGGGUAGUGGUUUACCAAGGCUUUGACGGGUAGCCGGCCUGAGAGGGUGACCGGCCACAUUGGGACUGAGAUACGGCCCAGACUCCUACGGGAGGCAGCAGUGGGGAAUAUUGCACAAUGGGCGGAAGCCUGAUGCAGCAACGCCGCGUGCGGGAUGACGGCCUUCGGGUGGUAAACCGCUUUCGCCUGUGACGAAGCGUGAGUGACGGUAAUGGGGAAAGAAGCACCGGCUAACUACGU
rnacentral:rRNA from 1 species